rnacentral:rRNA from 1 species
GGCACGCCUAACACAUGCAAGUCGAACGGAGUAGCAAUACUUAGUGGCAGACGGGUGAGUAACAUGUAGGUAUCUUCCCUUUGGCCUGGAAUAACACGAGGAAACUUGUGCUAAUACUGGAUAAGUCUUUACGGAGAAAGCUUUAUGCACCAUUGGAUGAGCCUGCACUUGAUUAGUUUGUUGGUGGGGUAAAGGCCUACCAAGACUGUGAUCAAUAGCUGAUUUGAGAGGAUGAUCAGCCACAUUGGGACUGAGACACGGCCCAAACUCCUACGGGAGGCAGCAGUGGGGAAUCUUGCACAAUGGAGGAAACUCUGAUGCAGCGAUGCCGCGUGAGUGAAGAAGGCCUUUGGGUUGUAAAGCUCUUUCGUCGGGGAAGAAAAUGACUGUACCCGAAUAAGAAGGUCCGGCUAACUUCGUGCCAGCAGCCGCGGUAAUACGAAGGGACCUAGCGUAGUUCGGAAUUACUGGGCUUAAAGAGUUCGUAGGUUGUUGAAAAAGUUGGUGGUGAAAUCCCAGAGCUUAACUCUGGAACUGCCAUCAAAACUUUUCAGCUAGAGUUUGAUAGAGGAAAGCAGAAUUUCUAGUGUAGAGGUGAAAUUCGUAGAUAUUAGAAAGAAUACCAAUUGCGAAGGCAGCUUUCUGGAUCAUUACUGACACUGAGGAACGAAAGCAUGGGUAGCGAAGAGGAUUAGAUACCCUCGUAGUCCAUGCCGUAAACGAUGUGUGUUAGACGUUGGAAAUUUAUUUUCAGUGUCGCAGUGAAAACGAUAAACACACCGCCUG